rnacentral:rRNA from 1 species
AGUGGCGAACGGGUGAGUAACGCGUGAGGAACCUGCCUUUCAGUGGGGGACAACAGUUGGAAACGACUGCUAAUACCGCAUGACACUUUUGGGAGACAUCUCCUGAAAGUCAAAGCUUUAUGUGCUGAAAGAUGGCCUCGCGUCUGAUUAGCUGGUUGGUGAGGUAACGGCUCACCAAGGCGACGAUCAGUAGCCGGUCUGAGAGGAUGAACGGCCACAUUGGGACUGAGAUACGGCCCAGACUCCUACGGGAGGCAGCAGUGGGGAAUAUUGGGCAAUGGGGGAAACCCUGAUGCAGCGACGCCGCGUGAGCGAUGAAGUAUUUCGGUAUGUAAAGCUCUAUCAGUAGGGAAGAAAAUGACGGUACCUGACUAAGAAGCACCGGCUAAAUACGUGCCAGCAGCCGCGGUAAUACGUAUGGUGCAAGCGUUAUCCGGAUUUACUGGGUGUAAAGGGAGCGUAGACGGAGUGGCAAGUCUGAUGUGAAAACCCGGGGCUCAACCCCGGGACUGCAUUGGAAACUGUCAAUCUGGAGUACCGGAGAGGUAAGCGGAAUUCCUAGUGUAGCGGUGAAAUGCGUAGAUAUUAGGAGGAACACCAGUGGCGAAGGCGGCUUACUGGACGGUAACUGACGUUGAGGCUCGAAAGCGUGGGGAGCAAACAGGAUUAGAUACCCUGGUAGUCCACGCCGUAAACGAUGACUACUAGGUGUCGGGCAGCAAAGCUGUUCGGUGCCGCAGCAAACGCAAUAAGUAGUCCACCUGGGGAGUACGUUCGCAAGAAUGAAACUCAAAGGAAUUGACGGGGACCCGCACAAGCGGUGGAGCAUGUGGUUUAAUUCGAAGCAACGCGAAGAACCUUACCAGGCCUUGACAUCCUUCUGACCGGUACGUAACGGUACCUUCUCUUCGGAGCAGGAGUGACAGGUGGUGCAUGGUUGUCGUCAGCUCGUGUCGUGAGAUGUUGGGUUAAGUCCCGCAACGAGCGCAACCCUUAUCCUUAGUAGCCAGCAGUAAGAUGGGCACUCUAGGGAGACUGCCAGGGAUAACCUGGAGGAAGGUGGGGAUGACGUCAAAUCAUCAUGCCCCUUAUGAUUUGGGCUACACACGUGCUACAAUGGCGUAAACAAAGGGAAGCGAAACCGCGAGGUGAAGCAAAUCCCGAAAAUAACGUCCCAGUUCGGAUUGUAGGCUGCAACUCGCCUGCAUGAAGCUGGAAUCGCUAGUAAUCGCGAAUCAGAAUGUCGCGGUGAAUACGUUCCCGGGUCUUGCACACACCGCCCGUCA